rnacentral:lncRNA from 1 species
CCUGGGCUCUCCGCAGCUCAUAAACACAGUGAUUUAAAGCAGGAGACUAUCAGGCUUCUGGACACACAGGAGGACUGUUCUUCUGUCUCCCCAUCUGUCUGUAUGACAGUCUGUCUGUUCCUCAAAGCUUAUCCAACUGGCCCCUCCGUCGCGACUUAACCUGAACGCCCAUCUGCGGCCCGCUAAUCGUUAGCUGUCUUAUCGGCUGCUAUCUGAAUAGGUCUAUCGGACAGUUUUCUUCGGCCACUAUAACUAUUUUGCCAAUUCGACUGGUCCCCUCUACCACACGGAACCCCACUAAUCUACAGACGGAAACGCACGAGGUGGCUAAAAACAGACCUCCCUCCAUCUUCUACCGGCUUGCUACCUAUGGCCCGGCUAGCUGUCUGAAUCUCACUGGACCCUUAUGAUCACUCGGCUAAGCAUGCCUCUCCUUAAUGUCAAUAUACCUUGUCCAUUGCUGUUCUGGUUAGUGUUUAUUGGCUUAUUUCACUGUAGAGCCUCUAACCCUGCUCAUUAUACCUUAUCCAACCUUUCAGUUCCUCCACCCACACAUGCGAUGACAUCACCUGGUUUCAAUGAUGUCUCUAGAGACAAUAUCUCUCUCAUCAUCACUCAAUGCCUAGGUUUACCUCCACUGUAUUCACAUCCUACCUUACCUUUGUCUGUACAUUAUACCUUGAAGCUAUUUUAUCACCCCCAGAAACCUGCUCCUUUUACUCUCUGUUCCGGACGUCAUAGACGACCAAUCCUCAUAGCUUUCAGCCGUACCCUUAUCCUACUCCUCCUCUGAACCUCUGGUGAUGUAGAGGUGAAUCCAGGCCCUGCAGUGCCUAGCUCCACUCCUAUUCCCCAGGCGCACUCUUUUGAUGACUUCUGUAACCGUAAUAGCCUUGGUUUCAUGCAUGUUAACAUUAGAAGCCUCCUCCCUAAGUUUGUUUUAUUCACUGCUUUAGCACACUCUGCCAACCCGGAUUUCCUAGCUGUUUCUGAAUCCUGGCUUAGGAAGGCCACCAAAAACCCUGAAAUCUUCAUCCCUAACUACAACAUUUUCAGACAAGACAGAACGGCCAAAGGGGGCAGGGUUGCAAUCUACUGCAGAGAUAGCCUGCAGAGUUCUGUCCUACUAUCCAAACAAUUUGAACUUCUACUUUUAAAAAUCCACCUCUCUAAAAACAAGUCUCUCUUCGUUGCCGCCUGCCAUAGACCUCGAUCUGCCCCCAGCUGUGCUCUGGACACCAUAUGUGAACUGAUUGCCAUCUAUCUUCAGAGCUCGUGCUGCUAGGUGACCUAAACUGGGACAUGCUUAACACCCCAGCUAUCCUACAAUCUAAGCUUGAUGCCCUCAAUCUCACACAAAUUAUCAAUGAACCUACCAGGUACCACCCCAAAGCCGUAAACACGGGCACACUCAUAGAUAUCAUCCUAACCAACUUGCCCUCUAAAUACACCUCUGCUGUUUUCAACCAGGAUCUCAGCGAUCACUGCCUCAUUGCCUGCAUCCGUAAUGGGUCUGCGGUCAAACGACCACCACUCAUCACUGUCAAAUGCUCCCUGAAACACUUCAGCGAGCAGGCCUUUCUAAUCGACCUGGCCCGGGUAUCCUGGAAGGAUAUUGACCUCAUCCCGUCAGUAGAGGAUGCCUGGUUAUUUUUUUUAAAUGCGUUCCUCACCAUCUUAAAUAAGCAUGCCCAAUUCAAGAAAUUUAGAACCAGGAACAGAUAUAGCCCUUGGUUCUCUCCAGACAGUCAGUCAGUCAGUGCCCUUAACCAACACAAAAACAUCCUGUGGCGUUCUGCAUUAGCAUCGAACAGCCCCCGUGAUAUGCAACUUUUCAGGGAAGUUCGAAACCAAUAUACACAGGCAGUUAGAAAAGCCAAGGCUAUCUUUUUCAAGCAGAAAUUUGCUUCCUGCAUCUCAAACUCAAAAAAGUUCUGGGACACUGUAAAGUCCAUGGAGAAUAAGAGCACCUCCUCCCAGCUGCCCACUGCACUGAGGAUAGGAAACUCUGUCACCACCGAUAAAUCCACUAUAAUUGAGAAUUUCAAUAAGCAUUUUUCUACGGCUGGCCAUGCUUUCCACCUGGCUACCCCUACUGCGGUCAACAGCACUGCACCCCCCACAGCUACUCGCCCAAGCCUUCCCCAUUUCUCCUUCUCCCAAAUCCAGUCAGCUGAUGUUCUGAAAGAGCUGCAAAAUCUGGACCCCUACAAAUCAGCCGGGCUAGACAAUCUGGACCCUUUCUUUCUAAAAUUAUCUGCCGAAAUUGUUGCAACCCCUAUUACUAGCCUGUUCAACCUCUCUUUCGUAUCGUCUGAGAUUCCCUAAGAUUGGAAAGCAGCUGCAGUCAUCCCCCUCUUCAAAGGGGGGGACACUCUUGACCCAAACUGCUACAGACCGAUAUCUAUCCUACCCUGCCUUUCUAAGGUCUUCGAAAGCCAAGUCAACAAACAGAUUACCGACCAUUUCGAAUCCCACCGCACCUUCUCCGCUAUGCAAUCUGGUUUCAGAGCUGGUCAUGGGUGCACCUCAGCCACUCUCAAGGUCCUAAACGAUAUCGUAACCGCUAAGAAACAAUACUGUGCAGCCGCAUUCAUUGACCUGGCCAAGGCUUUCGACUCUGUCAAUCACCACAUCCUCAUCGGCAGACUCAAUAGCCUUGGUUUCUCAAAUGAUUACCUCGCCUGGUUCACCAACUACUUCUCUGAUAGAGUUCAAUGUGUCAAAUCGGAUGGCCUGUUGUCUGUGCCUCUGGCAGUCUCUAUGGGGGUGCCACAGGGUUCAAUUCUUGGGCCAACUCUUUUCUCUGUAUACAUAAAUGAUGUCGCUCUUGCUGCUGGUGAGUCUCUGAUCCACCUCUACGCAGACAACACCAUUCUGUAUACUUCUGGCCCUUCUUUGGACACUGUGUUAACAACCCUCCAGACGAGCUUCAAUGCCAUACAACUCUCCUUCCGUGGCCUCCAACUGCUCUUAAAUACAAGAAACUAAAUGCAUGCUCUUCAACCAAUCGCUGCCUGCACCUGUCCGCCCGUCCAGCAUCACUACUCUGGACGGUUCUGACUUAGAAUAUGUGGACAACUACAAAUACCUAGGUGUCUGGUUAGACUGUAAACUCUCCUUCCAGACUCGCAUCAAACAUCUCCAAUCCAAAGUUAAAUCUAUAAUUGGCUUCCUAUUUCGCAACAAAGCAUCCUUCACUCAUGCUGCCAAACAUACCCUAGUAAAACUGACCAUCCUACCGAUCCUCGACUUCGGCGAUGUCAUUUACAAAAUAGCCUACAAUACCCUACUCAAUAAAUUGGAUGUAGUCUAUCACAGUGCCAUCCGUUUUGUCACCAAAGCCCCAUAUACUACCCACCACUGCGACCUGUACGCUCUCGUUGGCUGGCCCUCGCUUCAUACUCGUUGCCAAACCCACUGGCUCCAGGUCAUCUACAAGAUGCACCCCAUUAUUUAUAUUUCUACUUUGCACUUUCUUCCACUACAAAUCUACCAUUCUAGUGUUUUACUUGCUAUAUUGUAUUUACUUUGCCACCAUGGCCUUUUUUGCCUUUACCUCCCUUAUCUCACCUCAUUUGCUCACAUUGUAUAAAGACUUAUUUUUCUACUGUAUUAUUGACUGUAUGUUUGUUUUACUCCAUGUGUAACUGUGUUGUUGUAUGUUGUCGAACUGCUUUGCUUUAUCUUGGCCAGGUCGCAAUUGUAAAUGAGAACUUGUUCUCAACUUGCCUACCUGGUUAAAUAAAUAAAAAAGCCAUCAAGUCAGUCAGUCCCCCCUCAUCCCUUCCCACCUCCCCUCCCUCCUCCUCUUCUGAGCCCUGUGGUGGGGUAGUGUAAUUCUGUUAUUGAGACACGAUGUGUCCUGAGCUGCAGUGAUAACCACUGCCCAGGAGCCACCGGCACUCAGGCUUAAUUCAUUAAUGAGACCGCGGGGUUGGUUUUAAAUAGGCUCUAAUUCCACACACAGACACCAGGAGAGAUUGGGGUGUUGGUGGAGAGAUGUAUAGGUGUGUGUCUGU